rnacentral:rRNA from 1 species
AGUGAACGCUGGCGGUAGGCCUAACACAUGCAAGUCGAACGGCAGCACAGGAGAGCUUGCUCUCUGGGUGGCGAGUGGCGGACGGGUGAGGAAUACACUGGAAUCUACUCUGUCGUGGGGGAUAACGUAGGGAAGCUUACGCUAAUACCGCAUACGACCUACGGGUGAAAGCAGGGGACCUUCGGGCCUUGCGCGAUUGCAUGAGCCGAUGUCGGAUUAGCUAGUUGGCGGGGUAAAGGCCCACCAAGGCGACGAUCCGUAGCGGGUCUGAGAGGAUGAUCAGCCACACUGGAACUGAGACACGGUCCAGACUCCUACGGGAGGCAGCAGUGGGGAAUAUUGGACAAUGGGCGCAAGCCUGAUCCAGCCAUACCGCGUGGGUGAAGAAGGCCUUCGGGUUGUAAAGCCCUUUUGUUGGGAAAGAAAUCCAGCUGGCUAAUACCCGGUUGGGAUGACGGUACCCAAAGAAUAAGCACCGGCUAACUUCGUGCCAGCAGCCGCCGUAA